GGAGAGGCGGAACGUGACGCACGCUGUCCACGUCCCGAUCGCGCAGAUUACGUAUGCUAACGUCACAGGCAAUGAAUCACGAGGAAGACGUUACUCGGGUUCGGAUGACGUAAGUCUUUGGCACGGGCCAAACAAACAAAACGGCUGCUCUCCAAGGCGCGAACUGCACCACACACACACACAAAAAAAGGGAAUGAACGUAGCAGCCGAUUCGCGGGUCAGGCAUGUAAAGGUCAAUUCUCGUUGUCGCUGUAUACUCGGUCCACGAGCCGUCCAAGCUGGUUGUUCCCAAGCUUCAAGAGAUGUGCACCAUGUUAGUUCAACAGUGUUAUUGAAAUAUGUUGGCGCUCGCACUGAAGGAAAAAUAAAUAAAUGUA
rnacentral:lncRNA from 1 species